rnacentral:rRNA from 1 species
UUGACCUCGGAUCAGGUAGGGAUACCCGCUGAACUUAAGCAUAUCAAUAAGCGGAGGAAAAGAAACCAACUGGGAUUGCCUUAGUAACGGCGAGUGAAGCGGCAAUAGCUCAAAUUUGAAAGCUGGCGCCUUCGGCGUCCGCGUUGUAAUUUGUAGAGGAUGCUUCGGCGAGGACUCCUGCCUAAGUUCCCUGGAAUGGGACGUCACAGAGGGUGAGAAUCCCGUAUGUGGCGGGCGGUCCAAGCCAUGUGAAGCUCCUUCGACGAGUCGAGUUGUUUGGGAAUGCAGCUCUAAAUGGGAGGUAAAUUUCUUCUAAAGCUAAAUAUUGGCCAGAGACCGAUAGCGCACAAGUAGAGUGAUCGAAAGAUGAAAAGCACUUUGGAAAGAGAGUUAAAAAGUACGUGAAAUUGUUGAAAGGGAAGCGCUUGCAACCAGACUCGCCCGCAGUUGCUCAGCCCGCCUCCUGGCGGGUGUACUCUUCUGCGGUCGGGCCAGCAUCAGUUCGGGCGGCUGGAUAAAGGUGUCGGGAAUGUAGCACCCUUCGGGGUGUGUUAUAGCCCGUCGCGGAAUGCAGCCAGCCUGGACUGAGGAUCUCGCUUCGGCAAGGAUGCUGGCGUAAUGGUUGUAAGCGGCCCGUCU